GUGCUCGCUUGAGCAGCACGUGUACUAAAAUUGGAACUCGAGAGAUUAGCACGGCCCCUGCACAAGAUGACAUGCAAAUUUGUGAAGCGUUUCGUAUUUUC
rnacentral:snRNA from 1 species